AUUCAUGUUUAAACAGUUCUAUAUGAUCUCACAUGAUAGCAGUUAUAAUUUUGAUAUUUAUUUUUGUUUACUUAGAAAAAUAAUAUAAUAACUAUAGUUUUUGGAAUUAGAGACGUAAUCUUUCUAUUUAACAACUCGUAUUAGAAUAUUAAAUUCUUAAGUCUUACUAAUUGAUAUCUAUAUAUACAUUUUUGCAGCCACUUUGUGAAAUAAAUCCUGGAGUUGGGAUUUAUUUACAGCGGCUGCCACUGGCAUUUAAUAAUUAUUUUUGAUAAUUAGAAAGAAAAUCUUCUAAUUAAAUAUUUGACAUUUAACAAUCUUCCCAAAAUCUCUCUACCUUAACUACACGAUUAAUUACUAAAAUAAAACUUCCAAAAUAUUUAAUAUUAUUUAAUUACUACAAAAUUAUCAUUUUUGAUAUUGCUUUUCUACAUGAUUAUAAUCAUCAAACCGUAGAGAUCUUUGAUAGCAUUUAAUUACUACAAAAUUACAAAAUAUUUAGACAAUAAUUCAUAAACAUAUCAUAAAUAAGAUCAACAUUAAUAAAAUAAAUGAGUUUUUUUUAGAGGACGGGUUGGCGGGACGGGUUUGGCAGGACGUUACUUAAUAACAAUUGUAAACUAUAAAAUAAAAACAUUUUAUAACUAUAUACAAUUUACAAACUUUUAUAUAUAUUAAUUUAAAAAAUAAAUUGUACCCGCGGUAUACCGCGGGUUAAAAUCUAGUAUAACAUAAACAAGGUUUGUGAAUAAUUAACCACCCUUUGUAGUUAUGAAUAAAAAUCAUCAUUUUUUAUCAGAUUCAGUUUUGCCGCAUUUGAUAAUGUAGUAAUAUUGAAU
rnacentral:sRNA from 1 species